rnacentral:rRNA from 1 species
UUAACGGAGAGUUUGAUCCUGGCUCAGGACGAACGCUGGCGGCGUGCUUAACACAUGCAAGUCGAACGGUGAACCGGAGCUUGCUCUGGGGAUCAGUGGCGAACGGGUGAGUAACACGUGGGCAACCUGCCCCUGACUUCGGGAUAACUCCUCGAAAGAGGUGCUAAUACCGGAUACGACCACUCUGGGCAUCCCGAGUGGUGGAAAGAAUUUCGGUCAGGGAUGGGCCCGCGGCCUAUCAGCUUGUUGGUGGGGUAAUGGCCCACCAAGGCGACGACGGGUAGCCGGCCUGAGAGGGCGACCGGCCACACUGGGACUGAGACACGGCCCAGACUCCUACGGGAGGCAGCAGUGGGGAAUAUUGCGC